GUUGAACGCUGGCGGCAGGCCUAACACAUGCAAGUCGAACGGUAACAGGAAGAAGCUUGCUUCUUUGCUGACGAGUGGCGGACGGGUGAGUAAUGUCUGGGAAACUGCCUGAUGGAGGGGGAUAACUACUGGAAACGGUAGCUAAUACCGCAUAACGUCGCAAGACCCAAAAAGGGGGACCUUCGGGCCUCUUGCCAUCGGAUGUGCCCAGAUGGGAUUAGCUAGUAGGUGGGUAACGGCUCACCUAGGCGACGAUCCCUAGCUGGUCUGAGAGGAUGACCAGCCACACUGGAACUGAGACACGGUCCAGACUCCUACGGGAGGCAGCAGUGGGGAAUAUUGCACAAUGGGCGCAAGCCUGAUGCAGCCAUGCCGCGUGUAUGAAGAAGGCC
rnacentral:rRNA from 1 species